GUGAAUUACAGUUACAGUCUGCUGGCAUUUUAGUGAAUCUGUUUUUAAUCAUGUUACUUACAUUCCUGCAUAUCCUUACUUGAGGGCAUCUGGAUCUCGGUUGGGUUGCCGUUUUUUUUUUUUUUUUUUUUUUUUUUUUUCUUUUUUGUGGUACAGCUUUAGUUUCUCUAUGUUUAUGUGUAUUUUUCAGUGAAGACUUGGUAAUUACAUUGAUAAUAUGGCAGAAAUUGUCAUGACAGGGUUUUAAUAUAUUCUUAAUAAUUAGAAUUACCUGUGUUGAACUGACUUGUAUGAGCACUGUUAAUGGGGACUUGAAGCCAUGGUGGGCUCCUUGUAUUAAUGAGCACUCUGAAAACUGUAAGCGAGGCCCUAGUAUGCUGAGGAGAAGCUCUGAGUGGUGUAUGUCUGCACUGAUAUUCUUAUCAUGACUGGUCGCAUUAGCUUCUUCAUGUGGACAUGUUACAGCACUGGCUUUGAAACUUUUUGUAGUUUUUAGAUGUUUAUUUGAAAACGUAAUAUUUUAAGGUGCAAAAGAUCACUAAUAUGCUUUUCAAAGCGAGGAGAAAAUUAAGCUCCUUGUGGGGACAUAAGGUAAACAGUUGCUUGCAAAACAUACACGUCCUCACGCUUCAGCAUGCUAGGUCAAUUUUAUAAGAACUGUAGGCCAGUUGGUAUUUAGUUACCAGAAAACUUAUAUAAAUUAUUGCUGUAUACCUUAAGGACUGCCCUGUGCUGGUCUGAAUGGGUACCACCCUCUUAGCCCUGGUGUCUGCUCAGGGCUAUCACUAGGUGAAGUCCACAAUCCCUCAGGUUGAGGAAAUUCAGGGUAUAUGAGAGUAUAUGAGUCACCGAGCCCAAAGUUUGCUGCUGGGUCUAAGGGAUGAGCCUCUCUCUUCCUUUAUACACUGGUGGUUUUAUCAUAUUUUUAGUGUGGUUUGUUUGUGGCUAAGGAGUAGAGCUGUGAGGAAAAAUUGAUUUGUAUGCUGACAUACAGUUUGAGGAGAGCCACCGGCCAUUUAUAAAAAGCCAUAUGGUUGUUUGAUUUGUGGGCCAGUGGCAGCUCUCGACUACGGUAACACCAUUUUUCCCCUUCCUUUAGGAUAAAAUCAGAGUCAGCCUUAUGAUUGAACACUGUGACCCCAGUGUGCUGAUGUCCGUGUGCUGGUGUCUCAGUUCAAAUCAAUAAGCAAUAACUCUUAAAGCUGUGAUAUAGAUGCUGUAGAGCUAAAACUUGAAUUAUAACAAAGCUCUUCAUAGUGCAAGUCGUAGAACACUACUUUUUAUACUACUGUAUUUUUUUUAGGGUAACUUAGAAGUGACACCCCACUGGUAAAUGGCUGAAAUAAGUUUCUCUGGACCUCUGUAUAUGAUCUUUUGUAGAACUCUGGGAAGUGAGGGUUCAUUGGGGCCAACUUCAAAUACUUUGAUAAAAAGCAAUAUGUGAAUUAAUGAGCCUUGUCCUUUACAAAUGUGUGCCAUGCUGGGUGACAGGGGUGGGUUGUCUGAAAAUGUUAAUGUCUUUUGUGCAAUGUUGCUGAAGAGCAAUAAAAUGCAGAUGAAUCUUC
rnacentral:lncRNA from 1 species